rnacentral:tRNA from 1 species
GUUAGUGUGGCAGAGCUCGGUAUUGCAAAAGCCUUAAACCCUUCGAACAGAGGUUCAACUCCUCUCCCUAACU